UGAAACUAUAUCUUUUCCCUUAAAUCUUUCUUAUAAAAAUAUGACAUAGGCGUAGACACACUGUUUUGCUAUGCCCACGAAUAUUCGUUCAAGCCCAAUGCAUUGAUGGGCCGCACAAACUGGUCUUGCCCUAAUUGGAAGCUCUACAACGCCGGCACAAGUUUGUGGAUUCCCAGUCCCCAUUUCGGUGACCGAGAUGUUCAGUGGUCGAUACCACAUGCAAGUUGGAUUUUUGGAACAUUCUAAAGCACAAGUUCCAGGCUUUAUUCAAAAUUUAGUGGGCACAGUGGCUGUCUCCAAACGAAGGCUGACUGGUCAAUGUAGAAGCAAAACUGUGUCGUUUUGGUGGAUUGGAUGUUGAUGUUAUGCUUAUGGUGGUGCUGGUGAAAUAUUCUCUCUCAUGCUUUACUUUUUCAUUCUCCAAUUAAAAGCAAAAGAGUUAAAAUGAGAUGUUGCUUUCUGGUCUGCAUUUCUCUCCAUAUGGGGUUUUUAAACUGGCUUUUCUUGGUUUCUCCCACACACCUAAUCAUAAUCCCCAUCAUAACAUAUUCUUCUCCUGCUCUUAAAUUACUCUAAAAACAUUUUCUAUUAUCCUUUUCACUUCCAAGAUUUUCUUUUUCUUCCUAUUAUUUAAAUUUGUAAAUAAAGUUUAGAUUUUAGAUUUUUUUUUUUAACCAAACCUUGCAAUAAUUUUAGUUAAUAUUUGGUUAUCAAUUUAUCUUCUUUAUAGUUUUCUAUUCUCUCUUUUAACUAAGCUUAUAAUACAACUUUUACCUAGUUUGUUUUGUUUUUUACGUUUUAAAACAUUUUCAAGAAUUCGAAAACUAAGAUUCUGUUUAAUAAUAUAUUAGGCCUCUUUUGUAAUCAUUUUGUUUUUGGUUUUUGAAAAUUAAGUCUAAUUCGUUAUAUUUUUUUGCAAUGAUUUGUUUUUUUCUUGAUUAAGAUAGUUGAAUUCUUAGUCAAAUUUCUAAACCAAAACAAGUUUUAUAAAAGUAUUUUUUUUUAGCUUUUAAAAUUUUGCUUGGUUUUUUAAACCAUGGAUAGAAACUAGAUUAGAAAGCAAUGAAUUUAGAGAUAGAAAGAGUGCUUGUUGGUUUAGUUUUGAAAAACUAAAAAUCAAAGGUUAAUAUUUUGUUUGGCAACCAUUUUAUUUUAAAAAAAUUAAGCCUAUAAACACUAUUUCUACCCACAAUUUUCUUCAUUUUGUAAUCUACAUCCUCUCGAUGGUUUAACAAACCAAGUCAAAUUUUAAAAACUAAAAAAUGUAGCUUUUGUUUUUGGACUUUGGUUAAGAAUUUAACCAUUUUAUUUAAGAAAGCUGCAAAUCAUCGUAAUAUAUGGAAAAAAUAGACCUUAACUUCAAGGAAAAAAAAAAAGUUAACAAACAAAAUUUUAGUUUUCUAUUUCUAGUUUUUUUCAAAUUCUUUUUUUAUUUUUCUAUUUUAUUUUUAGUUUUUGAAAAAUAUGUUUUUUUCCGCAAUUAUUUUGCGAUAGUUUUUAUCUAUCUUAGUGGAAGAUUUAUUAACUAUGUUUUUAGUACUCAAAACUUGUCUUUGAAUUUUGAAAAUUUUCACAAAAAGUUCACACAAAACAAAAAGCAAAUAGUGUUUAUAACUUAAUUUUUUUAAAUCUAAAAUUUGAUUAUCAAAACAAUGAUUGUUUUUAGAAUUCAAGAAAAGUGAAGACAUACUUACUGUGUUGGGAAGAGAUAAUCGUAACUUUUUUAAAGAAAUUUAAAAACGAAACUUUAUCAAACGAUCUUCAUGUUUUUGGGAAAUGUUUUAUAUUUUUCUUUUGGAUUUAGUUUCCACAAUAGAAUAUUAAAUGGAUAUUUGAAAAUUAAAGAAAAAUGGUUGUUGGAUUUAGGGGCUCCCUACCCUACGUAAAAGGAAGGGUCAAAGUGGAUGGACAGUGACUUGAUCCCAAAAGAAAAGUUUAUGAAAGCGAGUCAGUGUGAGCUCUGUUUUUUACUAUUAUUUUUUUGGUUACAUAUCAUCUCCCAUCUUCAAUUCCCUCUUUUUUCUUCUUCUUUUUUUUUUUCUCUCAUUUUUCAAUUUCAUUCUCAUAUUACUAAUUUAGUCUCCAUGUGGAAAUUGCAAAUGGAACGUUUUGAAAAUAUUUUUUAGAGAGAUCGCUUGUUUCAGUCCCAUUUUCUCCCUUUUCAAUGGCAAGAUCAGCAACUGCUGCAUUCUCUUUCUGAACAUAGUCAAAAUCCAAUGUAACGUGUCAAUUGUCAUGGUCCUACCGUAUACCAAGAUUAUUCAUUAAUGAUGACUUGUGACUUGUCUAUAUAUUUGAAACUAUUCAUGCGAGAUUAAUAUUUGAUCUUGCACAUCGCAUUUAUAUAAGUAAAUUGUUAUCUAUGUUGUGACUUGUCUAUGCUUCAUAGCUAAACGAGUACUCUGCUUUGAUAAGUUAGCUAUGCCUUAGAGAGUAGUUCACUUUGCCUUAGUAAGUUAGCUAGGCCUUAUAUUGCAAAAUUGGACCCGUGGAAAGGAGAAUUAUUGUAGCAUGCACUGCUCUCAAGGUUUCCAUCCCCAAAGUAAGACCCUUAACCACUUAUUUCAAUGAUGCUCGCUUGUGGCAUGACAUAGGCAUGUGUCAUUGGAUAAUUCAUUAGGGUCCAUUAUUUUCCCUAGGGUGGCCAAGAGCUAAUGCCAUGCCUUCAUAAAGUGUUUUCUAAAACGUUAUGCACGGGCGCAGACAUCCAAAGUAGCGAGGAGUUAUACGAACCCGAUUUUUUGCAUUCUUUUCUAUAUCAUUUAUGUGAUUUUAAGUCUGUAUUUGCCCUGUCAGAACUGAUCUAGAAUAAGAAUGUCUUGUGGAUUCUGACAUUCUCACUCACUUAACUUAUAGAUAUCUGUUUAAUUGACUUAUUAUAUGUUAGCAAUUUCAAAAUACUUUCCCCUUUUAUUGUUUUAAAAAAUUUAUUUAUUUAUUGAUAUCCAUAAGUCUUCGGACUACCUUACGCACACCUCGCUAAUCUUACGGGACAACCUGUGAGACUCUACAACUAAUUACUAGGUAGGAGGCAAUCAUGGAUUGAACUUAUGACCUCUUAGUUAGUUAUUGAGAGUGUCUUUUUUUUUCACACUAGAUCAAUCCAUGAUGAUUCUAAAAAAAUUAUUGAUAUCUGCUAUAGAAUAGGAUCAUUUGUGUUAUAUUUUCAUGAUGAUAUAGUAUUGUUCAUUUUGGAUAUGCGAAGGCUACAUACAGGUUUGCUUUUGGUUUCAUCCAAGAAGUCUCUACCAUUUACUUAUGAUCUUUUUCUUAUCAAGCUAAUAUGGACUUUGGAUCGUACACGUAUCCAAUCUUUUGUUCGUUCAUGUAAUGAUUUAGUUUUUCUUAGUGGUGCAAUUGGUUCGAUUUGACUUUCAAAUGGAGUUGGAUCAAUUAAAAUAUCAAACAAAUUUUGACUGCCUAUUAUAUGGAUUGUUGGGAAAAACCUCCCAAUUCUACUGCAGGAGUAAACUGACACUACAAGAAAAUGGAGGUCUCCCGAAGCACAAAAGCGUUGGGUGAUAUAUGAAAACGUCAGAAAAUCCUUUUUCGACGCAUUAAUUCGCGUCGGGAACGGCGUCGGAGGAAAUACGUCGAGAGAGGUUCUCUCGAUGCACCAAAAUAUCGCGUCAUCGGGAGAGCCCUUGACAUCUCCCGAUGCACAAAUAUAACGUCGAAAGAUGUCAAGGGAUCUCCCGACGCUAUAUUUGUGCAUCGGGAGAUCCACAAUUUUUUUUUUAAUGGAAGGUUUUUUUUUUGCACAACCGAGAAUGAGAUCUAAACAAAUGAAUGAAAAAUUUAGCAAUCAACAUUAUUGAUACAUAGUUUAAACAUAAAGAAUAAUAAAAGACAUAAAGAACAAUAAAAAUAAUAACAAAAUCAACAAAAAUAACAAAAAAUUUACACAAUCCACGACAAAAUGAAUAUAGUUUAAAUAUUAUUGAUACAAAUCCACAAGACACCACAAGUUUAAUUAUAUUUCUAAUACCUAAACCAAAAUAAAGAAAAAAAAAAAGAAGGGAUUGACUUAUCAACGGCGAGGGGCGGCGGGCAAAUGUGAAGAUCGGACGACGAACAUUGACGGCGAAGAUCGGAUGGUGGAUGACACUUUGGAUUCCCUCCCUCCCUCCUUCCCUUCCUUGUACUCCGUGAGACUAUCAUGCAAAAGGUACGCCGUUAGGGUGUUGUCGAGUCAGGAAGGAUUUGUGAAAUGCUUUUCAAGAAAAGGGGAUUUCCCGGGAUUGUGAGUCAGGCCUCCUUUGUGGCUUUCAACGAGAAAUCCUUAGUCCCAAUUUCUGAUAAAUGGAAUCAACCCCAUUUUGAGCUCUGCUUUGAUGGACGGAGGAAGGAGUCCUGGAGCCAGCAAGGAACCUGCCCUUAGAGAUCUUGCCCACUUUAGAACCUUCGCUUGAGGCAUGAAAUCACUCUCCUCGCUCAGAUUUAGUAGCUCGAUCUAAACGUCAAAUAAGAGAAGAGUUCACUUUCUAGUUGGGAGUCAAGAAAUCCAUAAAUACCACUUUGAAGUUGACCUAUUCGCUCGGCCAAUCGUCGGAAUGUGAGGGAGUAAAUGAAGGGUGAGGCUUCACAAGGGGCACCAGGCGAAGGACCAAUUCGGAGCAACUGAAAUAGGAGACUAGCCCUCCCCCGUGGUUCUUAGUCCCAUAGGUCUCCCUCCCUCCCUCCCUCAUUUUUCGGUUUUAAAAGGGAACUCCCAACGCCGUUAUGCAUGGCGUCGGGAGAAAUUAAAUAUAUUUAAGAAAUUCUAAACUUUUUCUGACGCCGUUAUGUAUGGCGUUGGGAGAAGUUAAAUAUAUUGAAAAAAUUAUAAACUUCUCCAGACACCGUUAUGUAUGGCGUUGGGAGAAAUGAAAUAUAUUUAUGACAUCGGGAGAAGUUAAAUAUAUUGAAAAAAUUAUGAACUUCUCCUGACGUCGUUAUGUAUGGCAUCGGGAGAAAUGAAAUAUAUUUAAAAAAAUUAUAAACUUUUUCGACUGACAAUUUAUAUGAAGAACUUCCAACUCGAAGAAAAACCACAGACUAGAAGGAUACUACUAUGUGAAAAUUUGCUACAAUCACACUAUUUUUCACCCCACGUCCCUAAUUACAAGACCACCCGCUUAAAAGCUUUUGACUACUCAUAACUUUUUUCCCACUCUCAAAUUAAAGAAUACCAAAAAGAAAUUUAAUUAGAGUCAAUAUGCAACUUUUAAAGGUGUAUUGAUUUUAAGAUGAAUCCAAAACUACUGACGGGCAUGGGCUCCAUUUUUAGGUUAGGAGCCUACUUGUCAGAACCUCGAAAUGCAUGCUCGUGACACCAAUCCUUUCUUCAAAUAUUAGCGAUGGGGGAUUCCCUCGCAUCUUACCAAACUCAACAAAUUUCACCUUGGCAAGAUGUUAGAAGAAUCCAUAGCUCUAAAACAUCCAUUGUCUUAACCGACAAUCAUAUUUCUCAACUCAAAGAAUUAUAAAAUACUUCACCAUAUAGAGUAGACCACUUAGAAUACCACAUUCCAAGAAUUUCGUCACAUGCCAAUAAACCAUGUCGAAUUUUAUGGUGCAACUUACACCUACUUGACUCACUUGAAAGUUUUUUUGCCAUCGACAUAAUUUUUACACCUUGCAUAACCGAUGCGGAACCAGUAACAUUACAUUCUCCAUCAUGAUAAAACAGACAUACCACGAGAAUGAAUUUUGUCUUCUUCGGACGAGGUCAUUGUCUUCUUUGGCAAGAAAGACAAUAUUAGCACUUGACAUAGAGCCUUUUGACGAACCUGCUUCGUUUAGACAAUUCUUUUUUUUUUUUUUUCAUGUGUCGAACAUUCUUAGCAAACCUUUUUCUACACGAACUCUUUCUUCUUAUAUCUACUAACUAUCAGGAUUGAAUUCUCUCGUGAAUUAUGCUCUUCUCUCUUCAAUCUUUUUUCUUCUAACAGAAAGCAAAAUCUAAAAGUUUCUUUUCCAUACGUCAAGAUUGGCUUCAUGUGUACAUAAAAAAGGAGGAAAUGACCAGAUAAGUUGAAGUGCCUUAUUUUCUUCCCCUAUCUUCACUCCUCUUAACUCUAGCUAAAAAACAUGCCAUCGGAAACACUUAGAUGAUUUGAGAUUUUUGUACUUCCACCGUUUACAGUAGGGAAAUUAUUCCUUUAGGUACAACUGAUUAGACGUGCUUUUUGUCUAAUACAUUGCUUCAAGCUUCUCUAAAAGUUAGUGCCUUAUUCUAGGGCAUUAUGGAUGUGACCUGCUUUGUAGUUAGUACAAAUGACUUGAUCUUGAGUCGUUCAUAUAAAGACUUGAAAGUGGGGGCAUCAUUUGUAAAGAGUUUACAUAAGAUUGAAUCAUGAAAUAAGCAAUUUUAUGUUUUAACAUCGUUUACUAUUUAAAACUGGUUAUUUCAAUUAUUGUUGACCUAUGUAACUUAAUGUUAAUUGUGAGCUAACUAUGAACUCUUGUUCACACAUGAUUAUUCUUAGAUAUGCAUAUGUGAGGGCAGCUCAUUAGUGCUAGCUUAAUAAGCCUUCCAUUUUAGGAGUAAAAUCGAAUGUAUAGUUGGGGACAUAUGGUGUAAGACAGAAUUAACUCCUACCCGCUUUAGGGUUAAUAGAUAUGUUGUUCCCUUAAGUCAUGUAUCUAAGUCUUGAACAUAGAGCCUCACCCUCUCAUAGGCCUGAGAGGGAUUUGAUUUAUAGGUUGAAACUUAAACCAAUUGUUCAGUAAUCAAUUGUUCAAUAAUGGAUCAAUAGGACUUAAGGAGCAAGAUGUAGUCGUGAGGGUAAAUGUCAUUUUGACCCAACUGAGGUUACAAAUAAUAUGUGAAAGAUUAACUUAUCGAUCUUGGUUUAUAUCAGAUGGACACAAAUAUAUUUAUAAUGAGUAGAGUGUAACUACGAGACUUUAGUGGAAUGAUCUAUUAGUUAACGAAUGUUAAUUAGCUUGGUCUAAAAGAGUUUAGCCAAUUAAUCUCGAAUCCUUGGAGCCCAUGAUUUAUAGGUUAGUUAGGUUUCCCUGCUAGCUCAUAUGCAAUACACUUAGAAUCGUAUGAUGGAACGAGUUGAAUUGUUCAAAUUAGGUGAGAAGAGAGAAAUCGACAAGUAUAUUUGAUAUAGUUGUUAGUUAUCAGAUUAGAGAUAGAGUUUUAUGUUUAAAUGAGAUUUAAAUACUAAAAAUAUGAAUGUAGAUUAAUACUCAAAAGCUCGAAAAUGAUAUACUAUUUGUUUAUGUAAAAUUGAAUUGUACAGAAAAAUCUAACGAUUGCAAAAAGGAGAUUGUUCAAAGAUAUAUCGAAGGGGAAAGGGAAGACAAUUGAUCUUAAAAUGUACUUGCGUUAGAUAAUUUCAUUGUAUUGUGCUUUUUUACCAUAUUAUAAGACGUCAAUGUACAUUGACUAAGGAAGAUGAAUUGUGGUUCAACUUUGAAAGAACUUUUAGCCAAAUUUGGUAUUAGGGAAUUCAAAGCGAUAACUGGAUUAAAUUGCAGUCCAUUGCCUCCCAUGGAUAUUUAUAAAGUAAAGGGUAAAUUUUUGACAAAAUACUUCUAGAAUGAAGACUCUAUUCUGAGAUCAAUGGUCUCAUUUCUGAUUAAUGAAUCAAAAAAAAUUGAAGGAUAAGGACAAAGAUAAGAUGACCAAUAUAUACUUCCUUGAGAAUUUUUUAUUGGGAAAGCAAUUAACAACGGGGUAGAUUUGGAUCAUAUCAAAUUGGUCGAUGAUGAAAACCAAUUUGAUGCUUAUCCAUGGAACAAAAUAGAAUAUAAUGUUUUAUUAGAUUCUAUAAAGAAAUCGAUAAAAAAGCCUUAUGUCCUAACGAUUGGUAUAUCUGCAUUUGCUUCUCUCUUUUGGUAUGGGUGCAUACCAUUGUUGAUUGGACCUUCCAUAUUUUGUGCAAAAAGAGUAGAUGAGAGAAAUGUAUGCAUGCUUUAACUGGGUUGUUGACAGCUACCCAGAAUGGAAGGACCUUGCGGAGAAGGUCUUCAACGAUGAACAAGUAUGUUGUAUCAUAAGAAUGUUGUAUAUUUUAUAAUUACUUUGAAUAUGAAUAAUGUAUCAAUAUUUAGUCUAUUUUUCCUAUGUCAUUCUUGCAACAAUUUGAAUUUAAGGCUAUGUUUCCGAAAGAAGAUUUUGUGGAACAUUUUGAUUUUUUACAAUUUUGUGGAAUGUUCAUCAAGAUCUUCUUGUAUUG